rnacentral:rRNA from 1 species
UAAGGAAUAUUGCUCAAUGGGAGAAAUCCUGAAGCAGCAACGCCGCGUGGAGGAUGAAGGGUCUAUGACUUGUAAACUCCUGUAAAGAAGGAAAAAAUUCCCAUUUGAUGGGAGAUGAUGGUACUUCUGGAGUAAGCCCCGGCUAACUACGUGCCAGCAGCCGCGGUAAUACGUAGGGGGCAAGCGUUGUCCGGAUUUACUGGGUGUAAAGGGUGCUCAGGCGGAUUUGUAAGUCAGAGGUGAAAUCUUACAGCUUAACUGUGAAACUGCCUUUGAUACUGCAAGCCUAGAGUAUGGAAGAGAGUGAUGGAAUAUCUGGUGUAGCAGUGAAAUGCGUAGAUAUCAGAUAGAACACCCAUGGCGAAGGCAGUCACUUGGUCCAUUACUGACGCUAAAGCACGAAAGCGUGGGUAGCAAACA